rnacentral:rRNA from 1 species
AAUUCGCCCUUACUCCUACGGGAGGCAGCAGUGGGGAAUUUUGCGCAAUGGGGGAAACCCUGACGCAGCAACGCCGCGUGAGUGAUGAAGGCUUUCGGGUCGUAAAGCUCUGUCAGUAGGGAAGAAAUGAAAACGGUUAAUACCCGUUUUUCUUGACGGUACCUACAAAGGAAGCACCGGCUAACUCCGUGCCAGCAGCCGCGGUAAUACGGAGGGUGCAAGCGUUGUUCGGAUUUAUUGGGCGUAAAGCGCGUGUAGGCGGUUUCUUAAGUCUGAUGUGAAAGCCCUGGGCUCAACCCAGGAAGUGCAUUGGAUACUGGGAGACUUGAAUACGGGAGAGGGUAGUGGAAUUCCUAGUGUAGGAGUGAAAUCCGUAGAUAUUAGGAGGAACACCGGUGGCGAAGGCGGCUACCUGGACCGAUAUUGACGCUGAGACGCGAAAGCGUGGGGAGCAAACAGGAUUAGAUACCCUGGUAGUCCACGCCGUAAACGAUGAGAACUAGGUGUUGCGGGUAUUGACCCCUGCAGUGCCGCAGCUAACGCAUUAAGUUCUCCGCCUGGGAAGU